rnacentral:lncRNA from 1 species
AAAUCUAGAUUAUCCUGAGUAACCUGCUUGGGUAAUAAAAUACAGCAGAAGUAACAUUCAGGGACUUCCAAAGUUAGUUUAUAAGAAACAUUAUUGCUUCCAUUCGGACCUCUGGGAACACUCCUGUUUGAGAAGCUCCCUCUUGGAACCCAGUCAUAAUGCUUCAAGAACCUAAGCCACACAAAGUGGCCAUAGUUGACAGUUCUAGCUGACUCUCCUGCCUACAGCCAGCAGCUGCCAGCCAUCUUGGAAAUCCAGCCUAAGUGAGUCUUCAGAUGACUGCAGCUCCAGCCAGCACCUAACUGCAGUAGCAUAAGAGACCCCAAAAGAAAACUGCCCAGCUGUGCCCACUCAUCCUGCAGAGGCAGGAAAGACAAUAAUAACACAUUUUAAGCCUUCAAGUUUUGGGAUGGAUUGUUAUGUAGCAACAGGUACCUGAAACACCAUCUUAUAUGUAAGAAAGCAGAAGACUAAAGACAUUAAAUAAUCUGCCAAAAGUCAUAGAUCCAGCCAGUCAAGAGCUGGUGAAGUAGACCUGCUGUAGAAGGUGUGAAGACCCAGUCCUCCCUCCACAAUUCUCCACCCUUGAAAGGUCGUGUGCGUGUCUGUUCACCCACGAAAGAAGAAGACACCAAAUGGAUGGCAUCGAUUUCAUCUUAAGUUUCAAUGCCAACUCUAUAAGUAACUGCAUUUUUACAUUUCUGAUACUGUAA